rnacentral:tRNA from 1 species
GCUAAUUGUGAAUGAAUCGUAGUUGUGAUUAAGCCCUUUUAAAGUGGACAGCCCUCUCGUGAUGGGCAUAACUAGCCUUUUGAAUU